AUUCUUUCAUGGUGUUCUAUGGUAUGAUGUUUAUAGAAUAACAAAUUUAAAUAUUAAAAUUUGCUAAUAAUUUUAAUAGAAUAACUUUACGAUCAAAACAAGCAAGUAAGCAGAAUGGAAAAUUUUCACAACAAAAAACAAAAAGUUGAAGACUUAGAAGUGACUGGAGUUUCGAGAAGUGGGAGGGUGAGAAAAAAAUCGUCCAAGUUGAUGGAUUUCGAGUCGCCUGACGAAAUAGAACGAUCUUACGCCAAAAGGGCUGCCGCAACUCCGAAAAAACCGGAACAAUUCGACGCGGUGGCUCCCCCAAAGAAACCCGCGAAAUUGGAAAAUAUGUAUACCAAGGAUUCCGAGUACGACAACUUCAACGUCAACCAGGGGGAGGGGGCGAGCGACUCGGAAUACGGAAGCGAAUAUGAACCGACAGCGAACGCGACAGAAUCUAGCAUCGACGAAUCGGUGGAUUCGGACAGCGACUACGAUGACAACGAGGGUGGUUUUAAGAGGCUCGAUCCCUCCAAAAAAAAGCAACUCGUUAUUAAGGAUGGCAAAAUCGUCAAGUCGGAGAAACUCAAAGGGAAAGAGAGCGAUUUUGGAGCUAGUUUUAAAGGAUCGACUCCUAGAACCGUCACCAAGCUCAUAAACAAACGGUCGAACAUCGGCAAAUCGUCGGUGAGUCCACUGUCAGCGUUGCAGUCUGGCACUUCGAGCUAUGAGAACGUUAAUGUUUCGCCGCCUAGUCCCAGAGGAAAAGACGGACAAUACAGGGUGAACGGCAUCAAACCGAUCGACGUGGCGGCCCAUUUGAAGCUUCUGGGUGAAAGCUUGACUAUUAUCGGGGAGAGAUUGAAAGAACACGAGCUGUUACUGGAAAUUUUAAACACUCGUUUCAGCACCUGCAGUAAAGUUAAAAAACCAGUCAUUAGUCGGUUCUUCUACCUGUCAUUUUAGUCACGAUUUGGCAGAGCGCUACAGAGCUAGUGCUGGAUAAACAAGUAACUGGAGAAGUUUAUCAAAGUGUUGCUUACUCUACUUACUUACUAUACCAUUAGUUUUUGGGUAUAGUGACUUUCUGGGAAACGUCUUGCUUAGGUAAAGACGUAUACACCGACUCCAAGGCGUUUGAAAAACUUGAAAGACUGAUUCUUGGCAGCUCACUUCUACUUUGUUGGGUUAGAAAUGAUCUUAUUGAAAAGAUACAGAUUGCCUAUAUUAACAACUACAAUUCAACCUAUUCAUUACAUGCAUUAACUCUUGCUUUUUAAGUUUAUUCUUUUUCUUUUCUGAUGACAUAAAGUUGUUUAUGAAAAUUGUUACUUCUGCUGAUUGUCUCAUACUGCAGGAGGCCUUUGACCUUGAGGACCGGGCUAAGAGUAUGUAAAGUUAUUAAAUUUCAUAAAACCAGAGUUUUCAAGAACUGUAUUUAUUGUACAUGAUCUGGGUGUCUUGGUGAGCUCCAAUUUUGCUUUUUAGUGCCAUACUGCAAAGCUCGCAACAAUGUAACACAAGAAAUUGUGUUCUCUAUCAAAGCUCUGUGUUUUUAAAUCAUGGAAAAUUUUCAGCGUAAAUGUAUACUUUGUCAAUUUGUGACACACUUUCAUAUCUUUUUAGAUGAUCCAUCCCGCAAUACUCCCUCGAAUUUUUAGUCAACAAUUUCACAGAACCCGUGCAGUUCGCUCAUUUAUUUCACGCACCCUUAAGCCUUUUUUCCCUUAGAGUUAUAUUAUAUUUAAACGCUUAUAUCUUUCUUUAGUUUAUGCAAAUCUUGUUGCGUUGCUUCAUGGCUGUAACGUAAUUUUUAGCUGGGCUUGACCCGAGAAUAAAUAAGUAAAUAAAUUAACGAAAUGGAGUUAGUUAGCAAUAUCGUCGUCUUCAAAGUAACCUAGAAAAGUCUAUAAAAUACGCUGUAUGCAAGAUAUGAUAAUGUUCCUAGACCUUAGAUUUAUUUAUUUAUUUAGACUACAUGAGCAAUGUAGUGACGAUGGACUCAAUCAAUAUUCGAUCACAAAAACAUCCAUAAAUAUCCAUAACCAGGUCGACUACAUUUUAAUAGACGCAAGCCAUAGUAGUAACGUCAUUGACGUAAGAAAUUUUAGAAGCAGACAGGGACCAUUUCCUAGUCAGAGCGAAUAUAAGAUCAGAACGAAUCCCAACAACAACAAAGAAAGAAAAUGUCGACACAAUAUAGCAAAGAAAUAGCAUGUCAUGAAUCCAUUGCACCAGCAACACCAUAGGGAAUACACAUAACACAAAAAAAAGGACUGGUUUGAUUAUGACUGUGAAAGAGAGCUGAAACUCAGAAACUUGGCUUGACAAAGAAUGCUGCAUUGGACCACCAGAACAACAUAUACAACAGUACAAUCAGGCUAUGGCUAAGGCAAAAACAACUAUAGAAAACAGAAAACAGACCCAAUGUGAACAUAAAUUUCUUGAAGGCAUUGAAUUACAUAGACAGAACAAGACAAAAAAUUUUUUUCAGGGGGUGAAUAAAAAUAAGAAAAGCUUUUUUUUAAAAGAAACUUCCACAACCUAUUUACAAAACUUCUAGAUUCAUCAUGCGCUGAUUGUUGAUCAAUCAAAUUUGGUAACGUUUCGCCAAUCAUCCUGUUGGCUUUUUUCAGAGCUUAACUGAAAUUGACUCGCAUUCUACUCUGUACCUGCUUGUAUAUUGUUUGAAGGGAGCGGAGCUAAAGUACGGGCAAGAAAUUUUCCUUGAAUGAUUGGUUGAUGGUUUCCAUAAUUGGGAAAGUAAAGAUCUGAGUCGCGAAAGAAGUAGUAGAUAUCCUUCAUCAACAUGGAGAAAUUGACCUCCUACUUCGAGGAUCAAAUAGGUGACUACCAGUGUGGUUUCCGAAAAAAUCACUUAAUAAUAUACAAGAUUUUCAGAAUCAAAUGGUUAAUUAACUCAACUCUAUUGAUUUCAAACAGAUCUAUGACGGUAUAAUAAGAGUGGAAAUGUAUAAUGCUACUGCAGGACUUGGGAUACCCAAACAGCAGAUUAAUAAUCUCACAAGUGUGUGGAGGGAUUGAGAAGUGCUGUCAGAAUUGGAGCCAAAAACCUCAGGCUUCUUUACAGUUUACAGUGGGCUCAAACAGUAAGAUGAACUGUCGCUAUUGCUCUUUAAAAUCGCCGUUAGUGGUGAUCGCAACUGUCAAUUUUAAGGGGGAGUUGAUCAAUCUGGAAAGUUCUGCUUAAGGAUCAACGAAGACAAAUCAAAAUACAUGGUAACUGGAAGUGCACAAAAUGUCACAAUGGACCAAUAUAAUAUUGAAAGGAUUCAGGAAUUUAAGUAUCUGGGAGUUAGCAUCACCUCAGACAUUGACAUGACUAAAGCUAUCAAUAAUGUGAUACAAAGGGUAAUGAAAUCAAAUGUCUUAUCCCGAGACAUGAUGAACAACCUGUACCUGACUUGAUUAAGAAUUGCAGGGAGAAGAAUCCUAAUUCAAUAAAAGCUAACAAUAAACAACAGAUACUGCACUAGAACGCACAAGGAAUUGGAAGAACUAUGUAAUCACCCAGACGUUGUCAAACUAAUAAGGUCACCGAGACUCAGAUAGGCUGGCCAUGUUAAAAAACAAGUAAAUAAGUGUCGAAUUAGACUGGUGCGGGAAGAGGUGCUGGCUUGGAAAAAACCGUUGGGAAGGCCGAGAUUGCAUUGGAGAGACAACUUAACAUCAGAGAGAGAGAUAUUACGCAACUCAGACUCCCUGUAUACACAUACAUGCGCUUUUUGUAGGCACAGCUUUCCUAGCGAUCAAGUUGGCAACUUAAAAAUAAAAUUUCAGCAAUUUUUCUUGACUUUCUUUCUCUUGGUAGUUUGUCAACUACUCAUCACCCAGCAGCAAUUAUCCUAACAGCUUUUAUUCCCUACAGCCACAAUGAAAAUAUUGUGUUGAGAAAACUGUUUGCUCCUAUUUAUGAAAGGGUCAGAUAGCGGUAUCCGGCAGCCUUUCGGUACUGCUCGACUCGCUGCUUUGCGCACUGGGCCCUUUGUUGUGCCUCACCCAACAAAUACCCGAGUUACAGGAAAACUGCUGCAGUGCCGAACAGUUGC